AGCGAACGCUGGCGGCAGGCCUAACACAUGCAAGUCGAACGAAGUCUUCGGACUUAGUGGCGGACGGGUGAGUAACACGUGGGAACGUGCCUUUAGGUUCGGAAUAACUCAGGGAAACUUGUGCUAAUACCGAAUGUGCCCUUCGGGGGAAAGAUUUAUCGCUUUAGAGCGGCCCGCGACUGAUUAGCUAGUUGGUGAGGUAAAGGCUCACCAAGGAUACGAUCAGUAGCUGGUCUGAGAGGAGGACCAGCGACAUGGGGACUGAGACACGGCCCAAACUCCUACGGGAGGCAGCAGUGGGGAAUCUUGCGAAAUGGGCGAAAGCCUGACGCAGCCAUGCCGCGUGGAUGAUGAAGGUCUUAGGAUUGUAAAAUCCUUUCACCGGUGAAGAUAAUGACUGUAGCCGGAGAAGAAGCCCCGGCUAACUUCGUGCCAGCAGCCGCCGUAAAAC
rnacentral:rRNA from 1 species